rnacentral:rRNA from 1 species
GCCCAGCUUGCUGGGCGGAUGAGUGGCGAACGGGUGAGUAAUACGUGAGUAACCUGCCCUUGACUCUGGGAUAAGCCUGGGAAACUGGGUCUAAUACUGGAUACUACCUCUUACCGCAUGGUGGGUGGUGGAAAGGGUUUUACUGGUUUUGGAUGGGCUCACGGCCUAUCAGCUUGUUGGUGGGGUAAUGGCUCACCAAGGCGACGACGGGUAGCCGGCCUGAGAGGGUGACCGGCCACACUGGGACUGAGACACGGCCCAGACUCCUACGGGAGGCAGCAGUGGGGAAUAUUGCACAAUGGGCGGAAGCCUGAUGCAGCGACGCCGCGUGAGGGAUGACGGCCUUCGGGUUGUAAACCUCUUUCAGUAGGGAAGAAGCGAGAGUGACGGUACCUGCAGAAGAAGCGCCGGCUAACUACGUGCCAGCAGCCGCGGUAAUACGUAGGGCGCAAGCGUUGUCCGGAAUUAUUGGGCGUAAAGAGCUCGUAGGCGGUUUGUCGCGUCUGCUGUGAAAGCCCGGGGCUCAACCCCGGGUCUGCAGUGGGUACGGGCAGACUAGAGUGCAGUAGGGGAGACUGGAAUUCCUGGUGUAGCGGUGAAAUGCGCAGAUAUCAGGAGGAACACCGAUGGCGAAGGCAGGUCUCUGGGCUGUUACUGACGCUGAGGAGCGAAAGCAUGGGGAGCGAACAGGAUUAGAUACCCUGGUAGUCCAUGCCGUAAACGUUGGGCACUAGGUGUGGGGGACAUUCCACGUUUUCCGCGCCGUAGCUAACGCAUUAAGUGCCCCGCCUGGGGAGUACGGCCGCAAGGCUAAAACUCAAAGGAAUUGACGGGGGCCCGCACAAGCGGCGGAGCAUGCGGAUUAAUUCGAUGCAACGCGAAGAACCUUACCAAGGCUUGACAUUCACCGGACCGCCCCAGAGAUGGGGUUUCCCUUCGGGGCUGGUGGACAGGUGGUGCAUGGUUGUCGUCAGCUCGUGUCGUGAGAUGUUGGGUUAAGUCCCGCAACGAGCGCAACCCUCGUUCUAUGUUGCCAGCACGUGAUGGUGGGGACUCAUAGGAGACUGCCGGGGUCAACUCGGAGGAAGGUGGGGAUGACGUCAAAUCAUCAUGCCCCUUAUGUCUUGGGCUUCACGCAUGCUACAAUGGCCGGUACAAAGGGUUGCGAUACUGUGAGGUGGAGCUAAUCCCAAAAAGCCGGUCUCAGUUCGGAUUGAGGUCUGCAACUCGACCUCAUGAAGUCGGAGUCGCUAGUAAUCGCAGAUCAGCAACGCUGCGGUGAAUACGUUCCCGGGCCUUGUACACACCGCCCGUCAAGUCACGAAAGUUGGUAACACCCGAAGCCGGUGGCCUAACCCCUUGUGGGAGGGAGCCGUCGAAAGGGGAC